GUCUACUACCAUACCACUCUGAACACACCCAAUCUCAUCUGAUCUCAGAAGCUAAAUAGGGUCGGGCCUGGUUUGUAUAAUAAUUGGAUGGGAGAAA
ensembl:rRNA 5S_rRNA 5S ribosomal RNA